CAUAAAGAGAGAAGAAGAUUAAGCGCAAAAUCUUAUAAAUUGUCUUCGUUUGGAUUGGAAGUAGCCUGUGCAGUGUGCAAUUAUUGAGCGAUGGAAAAAAAUCUUAAGAGAACUUCAAAGGAAAACUGUGAGGCUGGACCUUUGAAAAGCAAACGUGAAUACUCAAUGAUUGCGAAUGAUCGCAAUUGACGUGCAUCCGUUUAGUGUUGUCAAUGAUAGAGGAUUUCGUGAGUUGUUAGCAGAAAUGGACCCCCGCUACAAGUUACCAAGCAAAACCCAUUUCCGUAACGUAGCGAUUCCAAACGCAUAUGCAGAUUUGAAAACAAAACUUAAAUUUGCCUUGGAUUGCGUGGAAAAUGUGGCGAUCACAGCCGACGGAUGGACGUCCAUGGCAAAUGAGGGCUACUUAACCAUAACUUGCCAUUUUAUAAAUUCGGAAUUCCAGCUAAAUUCAGCCGUACUGUCCACAACGACUCUGAUAAACCAAACUAACCACACGGCUGCCAAUAUCGCAGAAUCGAUUCGAGUGGUUUUAGUAGAGUGGGGUCUAGUGGAGAAAGUUGUUUGCAUUGUGACAGACAAUGACGCUUCGAUGAAAAAGGCUUGUGAGCGUCUCGGAAUUACACAUUUCCCUUGUUUUGCCCAUACACUUAACUUGCUGAUUCAAGAUGUGCUAAAAAUAGACAUUCUUGAUCCAGUUUUGUCGAAAUGUAAAGCUAUUGUUACUUUUAUGAAACGCAGCCCUAUUGGAAUGGCAAAAUUUAAACAGGCACAGGAUGUUGAA